rnacentral:rRNA from 1 species
CACCGGCGCCUCGAGUGGGGAUCGCGAUUAUUGGGCCUAAAGCGUCCGUAGCAGGCUUUGUAAAUCCUUUGUGAAAUCGGCAAGCCUAACUUGCCGGCGUGCAGAGGACACUGCAGAGCUUGAGACCGGGAGAGGUUAGAAGUAUUCCUUGGGUACCGGUAAAAUGGGUUAAUCCAAGGAGGACUACCAAUGGCGGAGGCAUCUGACCAGAACGGUUCUGACUGUGAGGGACGAAAGCUAGGGGAGCAAAACGG